GUAGGGUGCAAGCGUUGUCCGGAAUUAUUGGGCGUAAAGAGCUCGUAGGCGGCUUGUCGCGUCGACUGUGAAAACCCGCGGCUCAACCGCGGGCCUGCAUUCGAUACGGGCAGGCUAGAGUUCGGUAGGGGAGACUGGAAUUCCUGGUGUAGCGGUGAAAUGCGCAGAUAUCAGGAGGAACACCAAUAGCGAAGGCAGCUCGCUGGGACGUUACUGACACUGAGGCGCGAAAGCGUGGGGAGCGAACAGG
rnacentral:rRNA from 1 species